UACGUAGGCGCAAGCGUUGUCCGGAAUUAUUGGGCGUAAAGAGCUACGUAGGUGGUCUGUUACGAUCUGCUGUGAAAACCCAGGGCUUAACCCUGGGCCGUGCAGGUGGAUACGGGCAGACUAGAGGGUAGGUAGGGGAGAAUGGGAAUUCCCGGUGUAGCGGUGAAAUGCGCAGAUAUCGGGAGGAACGACCGGUGGCGAAGGCGGUUCUCUGGGCCUUACCUGACACUGAGGAGCGAAAGCGUGGGAGCGAACAGG
rnacentral:rRNA from 1 species